CAGGAGGCAUUAAAAAUUAAACAAGAGAAGAGUCGAUCAGCUUCCAAUCUCGGGUUUAUAGACAGGAAAAUGCUUAAUGACAGGUGGUCUCUGUACCAGAGGUGGCCUCUGAGAGACAUUUCUCUUGAUUUUAUUUUUUAAUUAACUUUUAUUUUCAGUAUUUUGUCCCCCUUUUCUGCCCCCAAUGGAAUAAUAUUUAAAUGAUAAAAGGCUCACCGCUGUUUCCAGAGCAGCCCAGACCACCUCUCCACCCAGCUGCAAGGGGAGGGAAUCUUUAAAGAUCACUCUGUUUUGGAAUUCUACUGUUGCCAAGUGGCACACAUGGAUUCUCAUCAUAUGGCUCCCAACUGCAGUUCUUUAAGCUAAAGAGUGCAGUUCUUCACCGCUUCCUUGUGACAGUCUCCUAAUUACCCAUUCUGAGCCCUCUGAAACAGCAUUCCUCCUAGUUAAGGAUCUCUGCCAUCACCGCAAGACACCAGCACACCACACGUGCUAAAGUGGAUUUCUCAUCCUGCUCCAAGUUAGCCAAGAGCGUCUGUACAACCACUGGGAAGUCAACUUCACUUCAGAUCUCGCCUGCACCUCUCCACUCUAUGGUCUGCCCAGGAGCUAAUGGAUUUGGAGAUGUAGCAGACCUGGAGCUAACUCUAUCCUGCCGCUUAUUAGUGAGGCAGUCUUGGGCAGAGAGAACACUGACUCAGUUGAAGGUGCUCAGAAAGUCUUGACCUCAUAGAAUUCUUGCAAGUAUUAAAUGAGAAAAUGAAUAUAAAAGACUCAGCAGAGCACGUGACAUAAAGUAAGGACUAAAGAAAGAGAGGAUGUUGUUGCUACAAAUAUCACUACCUCCAGUUGUCAAAAUCCUUUCAUCAUGUCAAAAGUUAAUCCAAAUGCAACCUCCAAGGUUAUUGUAUUUGGAAGCGCUCUUUCCCCUCUGAACUGUAGAGCUAAAUUGCAUAGAGGGGAUUUCUCACAUAUAGCUAUUCC
rnacentral:lncRNA from 1 species